rnacentral:rRNA from 1 species
UACGUAGGGUGCGAGCGUUAAUCGGAAUUCCUGGGCGUAAAGUGUGCGCAGGCGGCGUCGCAAGUCGAGUGUGAAAGCCCCGGGCUUAACUUGGGAAUUGCGCUCGAAACUACGAUGCUGGAGUGUGGCAGAGGAAGGUGGAAUUCCACGUGUAGCGGUGAAAUGCGUAGAGAUGUGGAGGAACACCAAUGGCGAAGGCAGCCUUCUGGGCCAACACUGACGCUCAUGCACGAAAGCGUGGGGAGCAAACAGG